AGGCUAUGUGAAAUUUUGCUAAUAAACAAUCAAUUCUAGAUCCUUAUUGCUUUUGUUUUCAUAAUACAAGAUAACAUCCUUUAAAGUAAAACAACAAUUAAUAUUCAUGAAAUUUAAUAUAAAAUCUGCCGAAUCAAUGCAACGCCUUUACAGUCUAAGUCUGAAAAUAAGUGAGUCAGUAUCUCUUUCUCAUUAUUACAAAAACAGCAUAUACAGUAUCAUCAAUAUCAGUCAAUCUCGAUAUUAGAGAUUUAGAAGGGUAAAUGGUAUGUAGAAUUCUGAAGUGUAUUUAUUUUAUUUUAUUAAUACAAUAGUUAAAAGGAAUUAACCAAGCGGUUCUCCCGUCAAUAUUCUUUCAAAAAAAGAAUCAGUUCAUAAGAGCGAUUCGCUCGCGAAUCAGACGUCACCACGUGAUGUCACGCGCUCUCUUCUUCGACGGUAUUCAGCAGCGCUAUAAAUACGGGCGCGCUAGUCAGUGCGCUCUCUCACUUUUGCGAUGUUUGAGUGGAAGAACAUCAGGGCGUAUAAGAAUAUGAAACUCAGGCUGCUACCGAAAGGUAAGGUUUUACAAAGUUUUAAAAAAAAGUUUGUUAAAUUACAUAGGUAUUCAAACUAGGUACGUAAUGAAACCGUCUGUUUCGAAAUGGUUGAUAGUAACUCGUGCUCGAGGUUUGGCACGUGGCUGGUUCCCGUGCGCGCAUGACACGUGUUGACACUGUAGUACAGUAUUUAUGUGUGCUGGUGUCUUGUUGCAGGAGGCUGAAUGUGGUCUGGAUGUCCAGCUGCUGCAGCUCUGAUGAUAAGGUAAAUGUUCAAAGAUCUGGAAGGUCGAUCAAGAUUCGGGAUCGUCCUGUUGUGGGAAAGCUGUGUGAAGCUCUACGGAAAUAAAGUUCUCCUGCCUUUAUGUAAAUUUGAGUACUCCACUUUCAGUGCUCGCUGUUAAGUUUAUACAUUUAAGUUUAUUUAUUUUCCUCCCUUCAGUAAAAACUUGGGCUGUUCUUUAAAAAUAAAAAUAUAACCCUCUAAAAAGUGUGCUUGUCU
ensembl:lncRNA